rnacentral:rRNA from 1 species
GACGAACGCUGGCGGCGUGCUUAACACAUGCAAGUCGAACGGAAAGGCCUCUUUCGGGGGGUACUCGAGGGGCGAACGGGUGAGUAACACGUGAGUAACCUGCCCUUGACUUUGGGAUAACUUCAGGAAACUGGGGCUAAUACCGGAUAGGAGCUCCUGCUGCAUGGUGGGGGUUGGAAAGUUUCGGCGGUUGGGGAUGGACUCGCGGCUUAUCAGCUUGUUGGUGGGGUAGUGGCUUACCAAGGCUUUGACGGGUAGCCGGCCUGAGAGGGUGACCGGCCACAUUGGGACUGAGAUACGGCCCAGACUCCUACGGGAGGCAGCAGUGGGGAAUAUUGCACAAUGGGUGGAAGCCUGAUGCAGCAACGCCGUGUGCGGGAUGACGGCCUUCGGGUUGUAAACCGCUUUCGCUCAUGACGAAGCUUUGUGUGACGGUAGUGGGUAAAGAAGCACCGGCUAACUACGUG